rnacentral:misc_RNA from 1 species
GAUGAAGAACGCAGCGAAAUGCGAUACGUAAUGUGAAUUGCAGAAUUCAGUGAAUCAUCGAAUCUUUGAACGCAUAUUGCGCUCUCUGGUAUUCCGGAGAGCAUGCUUGUUUGAGUAUCAGUAAACACCUCAACUUCCAUAUCUUUUUUUGAAAUGGGAGUUGGACUUGAGUGAUCCCAACGCUUUUCCUCACCGAAAAGUGGCGGGUCACUUGAAAUGCAGGUGCAGCUGGACUUUUCUCUGAGCUAUAAGCAUAUCUAUUUAGUCUGCCUAAAAAACAGAUUAUUACCUUUGCUGCAGCUAACAUAAAGGAGAUUAGUUCUUGUGCUGACUGAUGCAGGAUUCACAAAGACAGCUUCGGCCGACUUUGUAAACUCGAUCUCAAAUCAAGUAAGACUACCCGCUGAACUUAAGCAUAUCAAUAAGCGGAGGA